AGAAGAUCCUUGUAAUGAGAAGAAUGAGAAGGGAUCUUGACCGUGCAUAUAAAUCAAUCUAACGACUCAUAUUUCGCGCGUGUGUUAACAACAAUCAAUUCACGUGAUUUAUCUAAAAGGGUAUUUCUUCCUAUUUUCUCUCUCCUAUUCUCAUCCCUGACAAUUGAAUUGGUAAAGUAAAACUCAAAAAUGGCAUCCAGCUCCUCUAUUUCUCCUAUCAAAUUCUUCAAUUUCUCCAUACUAAAUCCUGUUCAUAUUCAUUUCUUAGGCAUUCAACCAAACAAAUCACUAAAAUUAGAGCUACAAUUUUUUUUGAAGAAGAAUACGCAAGCAAAAAUAUACAGUGAGGACUUUUUGAAGUUAGGAUUAGAUCGACGGUUUUUUGGAGGUCCUGGUGGUAUGGAUUUUGUUGCUUUAUUUUCCUACAAAUUACAACCUAUUUAUUCUUUGGUAAUUAUUUCAUUUUAUUCAUUUUCGUUAAUUUUGAUGUUGUAGCUAACUAUUUUGUCUUAUUUCAAAAUUCCAUAUUUUUUCCCCUUCUUGUUGAUUGAUGGUGUUUUAAAAUGAAAAUGAUUAUUUUUCAAAAAACUGGGGUAAAGUUCGAAAAACAACAAAAAUGGGUGCAUCAAUGUCAUCGUCAAUGGAACUGUUGUUUGCUCAUUUGUGCAAAUUUUUUUGUUCAUUUACACAAAUGAGCAUUUUUUUUUCUAAUUUAUUCUAGAUGAACAAAUUUACUCUAAAUGAGCAAAUUUAUUUUGCUCAUUUACUCUAAAUGAGCAAAUUUGUUUUGCUCAUUUACUCUAAAUGAGCAAAUUUGUUUUGCUCAUUUAAUUUUCGAUUUCAAGGUCAGAGGAUUUAAUGCUUUUUUCACUGAAAUUUAAUCUUACUUUUUUAUAAAUUUAAUUUGUUCUUCAAACAAUUGAUUUUCCUUCUUCUAUUUUUACUCUAGUGAUGGACAAAUAAAUAUUAAUCGAUCCAUGUUCUUCAUCCCUCCUUCUCACUCUUGUAAUUAUUUUGCUCAUUUAUCAAAAAUAAGCAAAUUUAUUUUGCUCAUUUGUGGGCAAUUGAUAUUUGAGAAUUGAGAUCAUAGAGAAAAUAAAAUUGAGCAAAAAUGGGAUGAAUUUUAACAGUGAAAGAGGAGAGAGAAAAUGGACAUGUAAGGAAAAAGUUGGGUGGGAACUGAAAUCAAAUUGGGCCUUUUAAUUUCAAGUUCAUCAUCACUUUGCGAUUUUACCUAAGGUGAAUCAGCAGCUGAGCGUGAUUUAUUUUGCUCGUCAGUCAAAUCCUUUGGCUCCUCAACUCUCUCAGAGAUAUUGUUCUCUUUCUAUUUUUUUCCGUCAUCUUGGGACCUAAUACCAGACACAACGUCGGCUUCAGAAUUAGUGCCACCAGAACAACGGCUAGAUGAGUUCAAUUCGGAAGCGGUCUCAGAACCGUCCCCACCAUAUUCAGAAAGUUGUCCAACAUUAUCAAGUUUUUCAUCAGUAUUCUGAAAAUUAUUUGAACUUUUUGUCAAUCCUUUAUCAUCGUGAAUUUUAUGAUAUUUAACUGUCUUAUCAUCUUAUGUGCUUCGUGUUUCUUUUUGACAUAUAAGCAGUUUGGGACUUCUGCAGUUUGGGACAUUCGUGGUCUACAACAUCACACUCUAUUUAUCUUCUAUUGCUGUAUUUUGGGUCAUGAAACAGUUUAAUUCUGUAAAAAAGAAGUUAGUUUAAUUCAUUCACUAUUGAUGAUAUCCUUGUGUCUAAUUGCAGAAUGGAGGAUGGGGAUUUCCCUAGCACUAGCUUACUAGUCCAAGUAUUUGCGCUUGCAAGGGGUGACAAAUUCUUGCCCUUGGAAGUUUUGCCCUCCACCAGGAUACCAAAGGAAGACGAAGGCGGACAACACUGCCUUGCUAAAAAAGUUUCUCACGAAACCUAUUUACAGAAAAUGUUUGAUGAGGUUAGAGACAUGUGGUUCGAGUAUUUUCUCAAGCAAGAAUCAAAUGAAGAAAACAAAGAUGACGGUAUGGAAAUAACUCAAUGAGUUUUGAUUGGCAAAUCGGUGUGAAUAUAUGAUUAGAUUUUAGAACGUACUUUUUAUUUUACGUUUUUGGAAAUUACAAUUAAUGUAAAGUUGCGUUUUGUACAUUAUUUUUGGUAAAUAUAUUUUUUGGUAAUAUGGACUAUUAUGGAAUGUUUAUUGAGUUAUUAUAAAAUAUUACAGCAGCAGGUGGUUUGAUACAAUCGGUGAAUGAAAAAAGUACAGGUUAUUAGCAUGUAAAGAUUACAGCAGGUUUAGCAUGUAAAAAUUACAAUUGUUAAAUUAUAAAAAAAAUAUUACAGCAGCAGGUUUACUGAAUUAAUGUUUAAAAAAAAAAAAAAAACAUACAUGAAAAGAGACCCGUUAUUCGUAAAAAGGGCUCUCUAGGCAUAAUACUAAAAAGUU